rnacentral:lncRNA from 1 species
ACACCAUAAAACUUCCACCUCAAAUUUCUCCUUACCUAGCUCAAGAGGGAGUGAGUCCUUUUAGGGCAAGGUUGCUGGGUUGGAGGGCUACAAAACCAUACCAAGCUUGCCCGGAUUGGUGGCCGGAGGAGGAAGUUCCGGCGAAAAAACCGAUUCGGCAGUCGAAGCUUUCGGGCGGCACCGCUCACUCACGGCGGCGCUAGGGAGGCUGUCACCGGUCUAGAAAUGUUGCUGGGAGGGAGACCGACCGAACGGAACCGGUCCGGCGGCGAACGGAGGCCAGACGGCGGCGGGAGGGCGCCCGGAAAACCGGGCAGCGGGAGGCUCGGGUGCGGAGAGGAAAUCGGGAGGGAGAGAGAAAGAAAAGAAGAAGAAAAUGGGUUGGGCUCGGCCCAGCCGACCCAACACUCCCUUUUUAACCCAAACUUCCAAAAUAAAAACACCCCGAAAAAUAAUACCCGAAUAAAAAUUACCUUUUACUAGCUAAAAUUUGCCAUUUUUACCGUAGUCGUAUUUUCCUCAUACGAAUAAUCCUCCGCACAUAAUCGUCCCCGAAACCCCUCUAGGGACCAAUUAAACUAUUUACUCAAUGAUCGAGACGGUAAAAUUCUUAUUAUAAUCACGCUAGUAAAUAAGGUAAAAAUAUAAGGGUCGGGAUGUGACAAUUCUCCCCUCCUUAUAAAAAUCUCGUCCUCGAAAUUAACAUACAUGUCAUCCGAAGAGAUACGGAUACUGCUGCAUCAUUUGCUCCUCUGAUUCCCAAGUAGCUUCUUCUACUUGAUGACUUCUCCACAGCACCUUGACAAGCGGGAUUGUCUUGUUCCUAAGCACUUGCUCCUUUCGGUCGAGAAUCUGAACCGGUUCCUCUUCAUAGGUCAAAUCUCUCGUCAAACUGAUCGGUUGCUCUUGCAGCACAUGAGAAGGAUCAGCAAUAUACUUGCGAAGCAUGGAUACAUGAAACACCUUAUGUAUCCUAGCUAACUCUGGAGGCAAGGCUAAUCGAUAAGCAAGUGAGCCAACUCGCUCUAUAAUCUCAUAAGGGCCAAUAUACCUCGGGCUAAGCUUCCCACGCUUACCGAAACGCACAAUCCCUUUCCAAGGAGAU